rnacentral:lncRNA from 1 species
UAAAAUUACAAACAAAACAUCCAAAACCGUAAAGCCCCCUACCGAAUUGGAGCUAAACCCACCUCGAGUUCACCUCUAAAACCACUGGGCAUUUAUCGGUUUGAGAUCUUGAUCAGAAAUUACAAAGAAUUUCCGGGAAUUCGACAUCCUUUGUCUUACAAAAAACAACUACAGAAAUGUGGAGAGGAGCGAGAUUCUACCGGAAGCGAAUUCCUGAUGCCCAAUUCCGUCGAUUUCUUGCGAUGAAGAUUUUGAGCGAGAGAGGGGUCUUCGAACAGAGGCGUGGGCGUUUGGACUCUCGGAGACGGAUAUGCG